rnacentral:rRNA from 1 species
UGGAUCCAGACUUUGAUUCUGGCUCAGGAUGAACGCUAGCUACAGGCUUAACACAUGCAAGUCGAGGGGAAACGACAUCGAAAGCUUGCUUUUGAUGGGCGUCGACCGGCGCACGGGUGAGUAACGCGUAUCCAACCUGCCCACCACUUGGGGAUAACCUUGCGAAAGUAAGACUAAUACCCAAUGAUAUCUCUAGAAGACAUCUGAAAGAGAUUAAAGAUUUAUCGGUGAUGGAUGGGGAUGCGUCUGAUUAGCUUGUUGGCGGGGUAACGGCCCACCAAGGCAACGAUCAGUAGGGGUUCUGAGAGGAAGGUCCCCCACAUUGGAACUGAGACACGGUCCAAACUCCUACGGGAGGCAGCAGUGAGGAAUAUUGGUCAAUGGACGAGAGUCUGAACCAGCCAAGUAGCGUGCAGGAUGACGGCCCUAUGGGUUGUAAACUGCUUUUAUAAGGGAAUAAAGUGAGUCUCGUGAGACUUUUUGCAUGUACCUUAUGAAUAAGGACCGGCUAAUUCCGUGCCAGCAGCCGCGGUAAUACGGAAGGUCCGGGCGUUAUCCGGAUUUAUUGGGUUUAAAGGGAGCGUAGGCCGGAGAUUAAGCGUGUUGUGAAAUGUAGACGCUCAACGUCUGCACUGCAGCGCGAACUGGUUUCCUUGAGUACGCACAAAGUGGGCGGAAUUCGUGGUGUAGCGGCGAAAUGCUUAGAUAUCACGAAGAACUCCGAUUGCGAAGGCAGCUCACUGGAGCGCAACUGACGCUGAAGCUCGAAAGUGCGGGUAUCGAACAGGAUUAGAUACCCUGGUAGUCCGCACGGUAAACGAUGGAUGCCCGCUGUUGGUCUGAAUAGGUCAGCGGCCAAGCGAAAGCAUUAAGCAUCCCACCUGGGGAGUACGCCGGCAACGGUGCAACUCAAAGGAAUUGACGGA